rnacentral:rRNA from 1 species
GGCUCAACCUCGGGCUUGCAGUGGGUACGGGCAGACUAGAGUGCGGUAGGGGAGAUUGGAAUUCCUGGUGUAGCGGUGGAAUGCGCAGAUAUCAGGAGGAACACCGAUGGCGAAGGCAGAUCUCUGGGCCGUAACUGACGCUGAGGAGCGAAAGCAUGGGGAGCAAACAGGCUUAGAUACCCUGGUAGUCCAUGCCGUAAACGUUGGGAACUAGAUGUGGGGACCAUUCCACGGUCUCCGUGUCGUAGCUAACGCAUUAAGUUCCCCGCCUGGGGAGUACGGCCGCAAGGCUAAAACUCAAAGGAAUUGACGGGGGCCCGCACAAGCGGCGGAGCAUGCGGAUUAAUUCGAUGCAACGCGAAGAACCUUACCAAGGCUUGACAUAUACCGGAAACGGCCAGAGAUGGUCGCCCCGCAAGGUCGGUAUACAGGUGGUGCAUGGUUGUCGUCAGCUCGUGUCGUGAGAUGUUGGGUUAAGUCCCGCAACGAGCGCAACCCUCGUCCUAUGUUGCCAGCACGUAAUGGUGGGAACUCAUGGGAUACUGCCGGGGUCAACUCGGAGGAAGGUGGGGAUGAGGUCAAAUCAUCAUGCCCCUUAUGUCUUGGGCUUCACGCAUGCUACAAUGGCCGGUACAAUGGGCUGCGAUACCGCAAGGUGGAGCGAAUCCCAAAAAGCCGGUCUCAGUUCGGAUUGAGGUCUGCAACUCGACCUCAUGAAGUCGGAGUCGCUAGUAAUCGCAGAUCAGCAACGCUGCGGUGAAUACGUUCCCGGGCCUUGUACACACCGCCCGUCAAGUCAUGAAAGUCGGUAACACCCGAA